GCCCCCAUGGUGUAACGGUUAGCACGCAGCCCUUUCAAGGCUGAAGCGCGAGUUCAACUCUCGCUGGGGGUA
rnacentral:tRNA from 1 species